GUGGGGAAUUUUGGACAAUGGGCGCAAGCCUGAUCCAGCAAUGCCGCGUGUGUGAAGAAGGCCUUCGGGUUGUAAAGCACUUUUGUCCGGAAAGAAAUCUCCUGGGUUAAUACCUCGGGGGGAUGACGGUACCGGAAGAAUAAGCACCGGCUAACUACGUGCCAGCAGCCGCGGUAAUACGUAGGGUGCGAGCGUUAAUCGGAAUUACUGGGCGUAAAGCGUGCGCAGGCGGCUAUGCAAGACAGAUGUGAAAUCCCCGGGCUCAACCUGGGAACUGCAGUUGUGACUGAAUGGCUAGAGUGCGUCAGAGGGAGGUGGAAUUCCGCGUGUAGCAGUGAAAUGCGUAGAGAUGCGGAGGAACACCGAUGGCGAAGGCAGCCUCCUGGGAUGACACUGACGCUCAUGCACGAAAGCGUGGGGAGCAAACAGGAUUAGAAACCCCGGUAGUCC
rnacentral:rRNA from 1 species